rnacentral:rRNA from 1 species
GGACUACCCGGGUAUCUAAUCCUGUUUGCUCCCCACGCUUUCGCGUCUCAGCGUCAGUCACCGUCCAGAAGGCCGCCUUCGCCGCUGGUGUUCCUCCCGAUAUCUACGAAUUUCACCUCUACACCGGGAAUUCCGCCUUCCUCUCCGGGACUCUAGCGAGGCAGUUUCGAAUGCAGUUCCGGGGUUGAGCCCCGGGAUUUCACACCCGACUUGCCAAGCCGCCUACACGCGCUUUACGCCCAAUAAUUCCGAACAACGCUUGCACCCUCCGUAUUACCGCGGCGGCUGGCAC